GCGUGUGCUGGCCCGCCGGCUCGGCAUGGACCCCACCGAGGUGCGCAGCGAGGUCGAGCGUGCAGCGCGAGGCGGUUCGGCGCCGCAGCAGGCGCG
rnacentral:tRNA from 1 species